GGGGAAUUGUUCGCAAUGGGCGCAAGCCUGACGACGCAACGCCGCGUGGAGGAUGAAGAUCUUCGGGUCGUAAACUCCUGUCGAGCGGGACGAACACCUGCCGGGCUAACAUCCAGGCAGGCUGACGGUACCCCUAAAGGAAGCCCCGGCUAACUCCGUGCCAGCAGCCGCGGUAAUACGGGGGGGGCAAGCGUUGUUCGGAAUUACUGGGCGUAAAGGGCUCGUAGGCGGCCAACUAAGUCAGGCGUGAAAUCCCCAGGCUCAACCUGGGAACUGCGUCUGAUACUGGAUGGCUUGAAUCCGGGAGAGGGAUGCAGAAUUCCAGGUGUAGCGGUGAAAUGCGUAGAUAUCUGGAGGAACACCGAUGGCGAAGGUAGGUCUCUGGGCAUUAACUGACGCUGAGGAGCGAAAGCAUGGGGAGCGAA
rnacentral:rRNA from 1 species